rnacentral:rRNA from 1 species
UACAGAGGGUGCGAGCGUUAAUCGGAAUUACUGGGCGUAAAGCGCACGUAGGUUGCGACGUAAGUCGGGUGUGAAAGCCCAGGGCUCAACCUGGGAAUUGCAUUCGAGACUGCAUUGCUGGAGUACGGAAGAGGAGGGCGGAAUUCGCGGUGUAGCGGUGAAAUGCGUAGAUAUCGGGAUGAACAUCAGUGGCGAAGGCGGCCCUCUGGUCCAGUACUGACACUCAGGUGAGAAAGCGUGGGUAGAAAACAGG